CUGGUAUUCUUAUCCUAUUCGUUGAUUUCACACUAUACGUUCUAACUCUCAUAUAAAUGAGCCACACAUGUCUGUGUCAUGCCUUGUUUUACAAGUAAACAUGAUAGUAAGAGUCAACAAAAGAUAGGGUUUACUUUUAUGUUGUGACUUUCCAUUUCUGUGAUGCAGUAUUCAAGCAGCGCCUGUAUAUAGUAUAAUUAUGUGCCCGUUGUUAUUGUACGAUACUCCAGGAUGAUAUGCUUUUUUAUAAUAGAUAGUUGCUUUUUACAAGGAAGCAACUGAACAAAGAGUUAAAAAUGAAAGUCAUAUCUUUGAAAGUUUUGAUUUACAUAGUAUCGUUAAAUAUGCACCACGUAUCAAAGUUGUCCUCUUGUCCUUGUAAUUGAAAUCAUGAUUUCGUGUUAUUGUGACUAAACUUUGACAAUAUAGUGUAGAUGUCCAUUUCAUUUAUUCAUUAAAUCGUGUUAUUGUAAUCUAAGAACUACGAGAACAGGCGGGAACUUGGCUGUUAAGCUGUUCUGUUUAAACUUUAAACUUAUUUCUGUGCUGACAUGAA
rnacentral:lncRNA from 1 species